GAUGAACGCUGGCGGCGUGCCUAAUACAUGCAAGUCGAGCGAACGGACGAGAAGCUUGCUUCUCUGAUGUUAGCGGCGGACGGGUGAGUAACACGUGGAUAACCUACCUAUAAGACUGGGAUAACUUCGGGAAACCGGAGCUAAUACCGGAUAAUAUUUUGAACCGCAUGGUUCAAAAGUUAAAGACGGUCUUGCUGUCACUUAUAGAUGGAUCCGCGCUGCAUUAGCUAGUUGGUAAGGUAACGGCUUACCAAGGCAACGAUGCAUAGCCGACCUGAGAGGGUGAUCGGCCACACUGGAACUGAGACACGGUCCAGACUCCUACGGGAGGCAGCAGUAGGGAAUCUUCCGCAAUGGGCGAAAGCCUGACGGAGCAACGCCGCGUGAGUGACGAAGGUCUUCGGAUCGUAAAACUCUGUUAUUAGGGAAGAACAUAUGUGUAAGUAACUGUGCACAUCUUGACGGUACCUAAUCAGAAAGCCACGGCUAACUACGUG
rnacentral:rRNA from 1 species